GGGCAAGUUACAUCUUAUUGAGAAACUGGCACUGGAACUUCUAAUUACAGCGAGUUUUGAACAGUGAUUGUUGAAGGAUUGUCAAGCUCUUUUCUUUAAAAGCAAAGAAAAAAUCCAACUGAGAAAAAUGACAAAAGUUGGCAAGAAGACCAAGCUCUACCUACUUUUUCUGAAGCCUGAUCUGAUUUCAUACAGAAGCAGACCUUGCAGGAGAAAGGAUCACCCUGGGAGCUGGCCAACCACAUGGGAUUCAGGGGAUGUGUUUCAAUUCUCAGCUUUGUAACCCGUCCUUUGCUUGACUUUGGGCAAAUUGCUUCAACUGUCCGCACCUUGGAUCCGCAAUGACAAGGAUCAGGCUUUCAAAUCAUAAAUUUGUUCAGUAGAAUAAACUUACUAUAUCUCAGAUACUAAUGUACUGCUAGACACGUGUUCAGACUCUUCACAUUUGCCUAACAUACAGACAAAUGGAUGCAAGUCUGGGUCUGAAAAUAGGUUUUGGAAAAGUUCCAGAACACAAACAGUGUGAAYCCUUAUUUCACUAAAACUAGCAAAAGCUUUUCUGUGUGCUUGGGUACCUGCAUGCUCCAGUCACUGCAGGCUGCAGUCACUGCAUCCUAACCCUACCUCCCCUUGGAGCAGAUUCAGAGAGAUAAGACCACUACGAUGUCCUCUCUAAAUGAAGUCACUGUGAAGGAGAGGCUGUAAAGGGUCAUGUGAUGACUAGAGCCGCCCUCAAAAUGGAUUUCACUUARUGGAUUUACUUCCAUGAAGCCAUGCAGAUGUAUCCAUGAAAAUAUAAAUUGAACAUGAGUUUGAAAUGUUCACCUGUGCAAAUGAAUUCUG